GGGUACAUUAACGAGUAACCGCGGGAAAUCGCAAGAAAGUACCGCUCUCCCACCCGUGCCUAUAUUACUCUGUUGCUUCCCGGGCCUCAACCCCCGGGGAGGACCCCAACCUAUGAAUUAUUUACCGUCUGAGUACUAUAUAAUAGUUAAAACUUUCAACAACGGAUCUCUUGGUUCUGGCAUCGAUGAAGAACGCAGCGAAAUGCGAUAAGUAAUGUGAAUUGCAGAAUUCAGUGAAUCAUCGAAUCUUUGAACGCACAUUGCGCCCCUUGGUAUUCCGGGGGGCAUGCCUGUUCGAGCGUCAUUUAAUACCAAUCCCUUCGGGGGUCUUGGGGUAUACCGUCUGGUAGCCCUUAAAAUCAGUGGCGGUGCCUCUCGGCUCUAAGCGUAGUAAUUCUUCUCGCUACAGGGCUCGGGAGACCACCCGCCAGAACCCCCAUACUUCUUAAGGUUGACCUCGGAUCAGGUAGGGAUACCCCGCUGAACUUAA
rnacentral:rRNA from 1 species